rnacentral:RNase_P_RNA from 1 species
GCCCGCGCAAGCGGGAUCAGGUAAGGGUGAAAGGGUGCGGUAAGAGCGCACCGCGCGGCUGGUAACAGUCCGUGGCACGGUAAACUCCACCCGGAGCAAGGCCAAAUAGGGGUUCAUAAGGUACGGCCCGUACUGAACCCGGGUAGGCUGCUUGAGCCAGUGAGCGAUUGCUGGCCUAGAUGAAUGACUGUCCACGACAGAACCCGGCUUAUCGGUCAGUUUCACCU